UCAUCCUCCGAUCAAAACCAUUUUACCUACAAGGCCUGAAUGAUAUGUUUGACAGAUUCUAUUAGGCUGUUAAGAUCUUACCACCUGUUGGGCCAUUAAAGAGUAGGGUAAGCUUUGUCAAGAAGCAUGUGAAUAUCAUAGUUGAAAGAAUAGAAAAUUCUAUCAAAACAUGAUCUCUUUCCUAGAGUAGCAUCAAUCAUGGCGGGUGGCAGAAUAACCCAAGCUACAAGGUCCACCAAAGUUUCAGUCCGUCAAUAUUAUGACUAGUCGAAUGUCCCCUCUCUUACUUGGUGGAGUUUGUUUUCAUCGGAGAUGACGAUCUUUGACCGAAGAGAAGAGACGGGAUUGAAAAAUGUAUCUGA
rnacentral:lncRNA from 1 species